AUAUCAAUAAGCGGAGGAAAAGAAACCAACAGGGAUUGCCCCAGUAACGGCGAGUGAAGCGGCAAUAGCUCAAAUUUGAAAUCUGGCCCUUACGGGGUCCGAGUUGUAAUUUGCAGAGGGCGCUUUGGUGUCGGCAGCAGCCUAAGUUCCUUGGAACAGGUCAUCAUAGAGGGUGAGAAUCCCGUAUGUGGCUGCUUGUCUUCACCGUGUAAAGCCCCUUCGACGAGUCGAGUUGUUUGGGAAUGCAGCUCUAAAUGGGAGGUAAAUUUCUUCUAAAGCUAAAUAUUGGCCAGAGACCGAUAGCGCACAAGUAGAGUGAUCGAAAGAUGAAAAGCACUUUGGAAAGAGAGUCAAAAAGCACGUGAAAUUGUUGAAAGGGAAGCGCUUGCAGCCAGACGUGCCCGUAGUUGCUCAUCCGGGGUUCUCCCCGGUGCACUCUUCUAUGGGCAGGCCAGCAUCAGUUCGGGCGGUUGGAGAAAGACCUGUGUCACGUAGCUCUCUUCGGGGAGUGUUAUAGGGCAGGUGGAAUGCAACCAGCCUGAACUGAGGUCCGCGCAUCUGCUAGGAUGCUGGCGUAAUGGCUGUAAGCGGCCCGUCUUGAAACACGGACCAAGGAGUCUAACAUCUAUGCGAGUGUUUGGGUGUCAAGCCCGAGCGCGUAAUGAAAGUGAACGGAGGUGGGAACCCCUCGGGGUGCACCAUCGACCGAUCCUGAUGUCUUCGGAUGGAUUUGAGUAAGAGCAUAGCUGUUGGGACCCGAAAGAUGGUGAACUAUGCCUGAAUAGGGUGAAGCCAGAGGAAACUCUGGUGGAGGCUCGCAGCGGUUCUGACGUGCAAAUCGAUCGUCAAAUUUGGGCAUAGGGGCGAAAGACUAAUCGAACUAUCUAGUAGCUGGUUCCUGCCGAAGUUUCCCUCAGGAUAGCAGUAACGUUUUCAGUUUUAUGAGGUAAAGCGAAUGAUUAGAGGCCUGGGGGUUGAAACAACCUUCACC
rnacentral:rRNA from 1 species